UUCGAAAUGGCAGAAUUAAUGCAUAAGCCUUAAGAGCUUAAAAUGACCUAGGGUCUUUCGUAA
rnacentral:tRNA from 1 species